rnacentral:rRNA from 1 species
GACGAACGCUGGCGGCGUGCCUAACACAUGCAAGUCGAACGGAGUUGCCCUUCGGGACAACUUAGUGGCGAACGGGUGAGUAACGCGUGAGAAACCUGCCUUUCAGUGGGGGACAACAGUUGGAAACGACUGCUAAUACCGCAUAACAUAUUCGGGGGGCAUCCCCUGAAUAUCAAAGCUUAAUGUGCUGAAAGAUGGUCUCGCGUCUGAUUAGCUAGAUGGCGGGGUAACGGCCCACCAUGGCGACGAUCAGUAGCCGGUCUGAGAGGAUGAACGGCCACAUUGGGACUGAGAUACGGCCCAG